GUUUUUUUUUUUUUUGAUUAUAUAACUUUUUUGUUAUCUUUAGGCCAAUUUGCACAGACUACAGCUGUAUCUACCUCUUGUACUACACCUGUAUCUACCUCUUGUGCUACACCUGGUAAGUUAAACAACUAUUAGUUUUUAAUGUGCAAACUUUAUAAUAUGUUUAA
rnacentral:lncRNA from 1 species